AACCCACUCUCAAAACAACCGAAAAACAAAGAAGCCGGAUGGAAAACACCGGCAGAACCCCAACCAACAACAAGUAACAACUUAACAAAUAUGGAGGUUCAGAUCUACCACCAACUAAAAGGUAUUGCAG